UGGGGCCCACUGAUAAAUAUAGCGACGAAGUCGCUAAAUUGGCAACACUGGUUCUGAUGCGUGCCUCAGAAGUACUUCAUCAAUGAUGACCGAAGCAUCUUUGAUCAUAUGCUUUUUCAAAGCGUAUGUUGCAAAAUGUGAGAUCCCACUGAUUUCUUCGAUUCCAAGCUGCUUUCAAACAACGGCCUUUACUGGACAGACCUGUGUUAUGAUGAUGCUGUUAAACAGCGUCUUGAUAUGCCACACCAGAUGGAUGGAGUAUCUUGGCAAAUGAGAAAUGCAAACAAAUUUGCGCACAAAACUUGAAAGAAAUAAGCUUUUUGUGUAUGGAAUAUUUCUGGGGUAUUUUAUUUCAGCUCAUGAAACAUGGGGCAACACUUUACAUGUUACAUAGGGAACUAUGGAACGUUCAGGGAUGUGAGGAUAUGAAGUUGAAUCCCUUUGAAAGCACACUUUCUGUACUGUUCAAAUCAUGUUUUAUUUAGUAUAGUAUAAGCUUCUGUCUUAAGCAUCCUAAAUAAUGCCAUAGCUUUUGAAAAGAGUCAACUUGAAGGUAAAAAAGGGAAGCAAUGUAAGAUGCAAACCUGUAUUCCAACUAAUUAUAGGUUACUAAAGCCAACGACAUACCGCUGCGCCACAGAGUUUUCAUGAAAACCGUGGAGAAAAAAACUAUUUGAUCACAUGCUGCUAUUUAUUGUUGACCAGCAGAUGCCACUAAUGUGCAUUGUGAACAGAUAAUGAAGCUCUGAGUAAUGGACAGUUUUUCGGCACAAUUUGGUGAAUGCGCCGACGCCUUCAGAAAGCUUCGGUUUCCCAUCACUACUGUUUCCUCUUCCCUCGCUAUUACUCUCUCCUCUCUAUUAAUUAUAUUACAAUGUAUGGAAUGCUAUAUAAUAUCCGCACGUCUUUCAUGGUCGUACCCCACUGGCUGUGAGCACUCCUGUCCACUGGUCGACACAGACUGAUUGCUGUUCAGAGCUACUUGGUUGCAUUGGAGUGGACUACUAAAGUGAACUCGAGAGAGUUUGUCGAACAGCCUCGACGACAAAACCAUCGCAGCAAUCGUAUUGUAUAAUAAUCAGAGACCAUGUUUAAGUUUAUAACCUAUUAAUUUAUAUUUGAUAUUAAGUUGGCUUACGUAAUCAAUCGUAGCCUUGCACAAGAGGUGCUUUGCAACAUUAGUCAAUUUCAAUUGAUUCGUCAACGAUUCAAAUGGAAUAUUUCAUCCAUGAUUUGAGCUACUAAUGCCUUCAACUCUCAUCACUCUUGGUGGAGCUUCAAUCUUAAGAUCGGGUGACACCUUGCCGAACAGAUCCGGGAAAAUGCUUCUUUAUGGAAGCUUCAAACAUCCUACCCUACUUACAACAGUUUGGUCCCACAGCCACUACCUUCUGGUUGCAAAUUAAGGCUGCCUAACAAUGGGUUUACCACACUGUUUCCUUUACUACUAGCAUACAAGGUUCAUCUGGUACCUGCACGGGUUUGGGUAGCACUCAGUUUUUCAUGACAAUUUUACUCAAGUGCCCUUUUUGGGGUUGGCCCCACAGUUUCUAUGGUCAUGUUGCAAUAGCGCCUGUUUCAGAUAUCAUUAUGGGUUAGACAGUUGGGUCUGGGUAUGGGUUUACUUGGACGCUUCCCAUCCGUUUCCUUUUGUGGAAUUUUUCAGGCUAGUAGUCCGCAGUUCAUAGUUUUUUACAUUACGGAUAAUUGGUUCAUCUUUAGUGGGCCUCUUAGGGCUAGCGUCAGCAUGUCGCACACUAGGCAAAUCACAUUAGCCAUUACUUCUAGUUGACGUCUCAUGCCAUCUUUUCCCAUUUAUAUCCAAUUGGAACAACUUUUCAUAGCAACACAACCAUUUUAAUCUCUACUCUAAGCUACUUGCUACCUGUUUUGCAGCAUAUGCUUGCAGUCUCAGACAAGGCAGUUCCCUCCGCUUGACGUCUCCGUAAGGUCUUUCUUUUUCAUGGUCCCUUCAAUGGCAUUUACGACUCCUUCUAUUAUACAUUUUCUUCACGUGAUUUAGGGAUUCUGACCCGGUCUCCUCACCUUAAUCACUAGCUUCACUCAAGCAUUUUAAAUUGGGUUCCUGCGGUACUAUCAUAAGAGCUCGCACCUACACUUAUCCUUUCUCUUGCUUUAUGCUUAUAUUUUUCAACACUGGACCGUGCUCUGCUCCUCAUAUUACAUUUGAUUUAUAUCCCUCCCAUUCAACCCUCUGUUUCACUCCUCUCAUUUCUUAAGUAAUAUAAAGGUCCUAUGAUACACUGGUCUUUCGUUCAGAACUGGAGCAGUAACCACUGCAGCUACAUUAGGUAUUAUUCCACCAUCACUCUCCAGCAACUAGGUUGCUGGCUAUGUGCUGCUACACCUCACUUGUUAGGCCAAAUCUUUUUGACUUCUCAGCAAUGGCUCCUUACCAUAACUAUCAAUAGCUAAUUUAGUUGGCGAGCUUUCAAUGACACGCAUGUAUGUGGCAGUCAUUCAUAUUACACCUGGCUUUUGGGUCACACAUCUUUAGGCAUGCAUCACCAUCCCUCGUUUACUGUAUGCACGACUUGGUUCAAAGGAGCAAGCGUAUCAUGUUUCACAAAUGACGUACCAUCGUGCGUAACAUUUCUUCUAAAUAAAUGAGCGUAACAAUAAGAAUCACUCAGCAGAUCAGCAUUGGGCUAAACUCGGUUAGGUGCCCAUAUCGUCCUGCAUUUUGGUGUGCACGGUUAGCGUUUCAUGUCAAUCAUACAUAUAGCAUUACAGCAUGCACUGUUGGGUUCAACGCUCGAUUAGUGUUUCAUGUUAAUCAUGCACAUCUUAUACGGCAUGCAUGGCUGGGUAGACAUAUAUGCAGACGUGUCAUUUCAAUCAAACAUUCCAUAUGAUACUUUCCAUUACAGCAUAACUGCACUUCUAUUCUUCACAUGCGUCUCUUUUACAUCUAUUUAUCUUGCAUUCCAUCUUGAGAUCCAACCACUGCUCGGCCAUGUCCCUUCUCCCUGGUGAGUAACUUAUUUAUUUAGGGGAGGUCGAUGCUAGCUGUCCAGCAUAGGGCAACCAGUCAUCAGCAUUUGUUUAAUUUGAUUACAGUACACCUAUGUUGUAAUUAUGUCGGAACAGUUAAAUUAUUUAUUUUUAUCCAUCAUUUCUAUCCCAUUUGUGAUCAAAGGUGUGAUCAUUGAAGACAUCUUUAACAAUCAUUGAUCCGAAAAAUAAAUGUAUUGUUCUGAUAUAAUUACAACAUAAGUGUACUGUAAUCAAAUGAAAUGAAUGAAAUUAACAAUGUUUAGUAGGCAUUAGUUUGCAUCAAGCCUGUCUUGAGCAUUUGGGCAUAGGUUCUCAUCGGCAUCGCAGUAAAUGUCCUCAUUGUUCAUGCACUUGGGGAAAAAUGUGCAUAAUGUGCAUAACUCCACCUACGGUUAACACUGUCAGGCUCAGGGCAAUGUUUAUACCCUUGCGGGAGCAUGUAACAGACCUGUCUGGCCAGUGCAAGGCUAGCUGUUUAAAUUCAAUCUGACCAUCCAAGAAGACGACGUUCAAAUGUAGUCGUGGCCAAAAGUUUUGAGAAUGACACAAAUAUUAAUUUUCAGUCUGCUGCCUCAGUUUGUAUGAUGGCAAUUUGUAUAUACUCCAGAAUGUUAUAAAGAUUGAUCAGAUGAGUUGCAAAGUCCCUCUUUGCCAUGCAAAUGAGCUGAAUCCCCCAAAAACAUGUCCACUGCAUUUCAGCCCUGCCACAAAAGGACCAGCUGACAUCAUGCCAGUGAUUCUCUCGUUAAAACAGGUGUGAGUGUUGACGAGGACAAGGCUGGAGAUCACCCUGUCAUGCUGAUUGAGUUUGAAUAACAGACUGGAAGCUUCAAAAGGAGGGUGGUGCUUGGAAUCAUUGUUCUUCCUCUGUCAAACAUGGUUACCUGCAAGGAAACAUGUGCCGUCCUCAUUGCUUUGCACAAUAAUGGCUUCACAAGGCAAGGAUAUUGCUGCCAGUAAGAUUGCACCUAAAUCAACCAGUUAUUGUAUUAUCAGGAACUUCAAGGAGAGCGGUUCAAUUGUUGUGAAGAAGGCUUCGGGGCGCCCAAGAAAGUCCAGCAAGCUCCAGGACCGUCUCCUAAAGUUGAUUCAGCUGCGGGAUCGGGGCACCACCAGUACAGAGCUUGCUCAGGAAUGGCAGCAGGCAGGUGUGAGUGCAUCUGCACGCACAGUGAGGCGAAGACUUUUGGAGGAUGGCCUGGUGUCAAGAAGGGCAGCAAAGAAGCCACUUCUCUCCAGGAAAAACAUCAGGGACAUACAGAUAUUCUGCAAAAGGUACAGGGAUUGGACUGCUGAGGACUGGGGUAAAGUCGUUUUCUCUGAUAUAUCCCCUUUCCGAUUGUUUGGGGCAUCCGGAAAAAGGCUUGUCUGGAGAAGACAAGGUGAGCGCUACCAUCAGUCCUGUGUCAUGCCAACAGUAAAGCAUCCUGAGACCAUUCAUGUGUGGGGUUGCUUCUCAGCCAAGGGAGUGGGCUCACUCACAAUUUUGCCUAAGAGCACAGCCAUGAAUAAUGAAUGGUACCAACACAUCCUCCGAGAGCAACUUCUCCUAACCAUCCAGGAACAGUUUGGUGACGAACGAUGCCUUUUCCAGCAUGACGGAGCACCUUGCCAUAAGGAAAAAGUGAUAACUAAGUGGCUCGGGGAACAAAACAUCGACAUUUUGGGUCCAUGGCCAGGAAACUCCCCAGACCUUAAUCUCAUUGAGAACGUGGUCAAUCCUCAAGAGGCGGGAGGACAAACAAAAACCCACAAAUUUUGACAAACUCCAAGCAUUGAUUAUACAAGAAUGGCUGCCAUCAAUCAGGAUGUGGCCCAGAAGUUAGUUGACAGCAUGCCAGGGUGGAUUGCAGAGGUCUUGA